AGUUUGUCUUCUAUGUUUAUGUUAAAUGGUGAGUUGGACCAAUAUCUCACAGAAACACUUGUGCUAAACCAAGGAAUAGUAAUUACAAGGUAAAUGUUAAUGGGGUAAAGACUUAAGCUUUUAACUAAUACAAACCUCAUUGAGAUCUUCUGUAGUCUUAACUUAUACAUGGCUUACUCCAUCAGGUCCCAUAUUCUAG
rnacentral:lncRNA from 1 species